GAUAUGAAAGUGGUGAUCUCUGAAGAAGUUGCCUUACCACGACACUAGUUUGUCUGUGCUAUGCAGAACCACAGCGACUCCAGUUUAAACUCCACCACCUUGGAUCCAAUUAACCUGGUCACCAGUGGCCUGAUGGGUCUCUGCUUCAUGGUUGGAGUUCCUGGUAAUAUUGCAGUUAUUAUUUUCAUAGUCCGGCAUUUCAAAAAGGACAAUUUCACCGUUCAUCUGAUGCUGAAUCUGGCAGCUGCGGACAUCUUGUGUUUGAUAACCCUGCCUGUAUGGAUCUACAGUCAACUACAGAGCAUUGACCAAGCAACCUGUACGUUUUUCAAAAUACUCGUCUACUGGAGCAUGUACUCAAGUGUGAUAACAGUAACUAUGCUGAGCGUGUAUCGUUGUUUACGGAUUCGACAUCCACAGUUGUGGUCAAGGAUAAGCAAGAGAAGAGAGAACGCGCUGCUGAUCAUUGGCUGGGCUCUGGCACUGCUCUUCUCUUUUCCUGGUGUACUAACACAAGAGAUGCUUUCAGGUAAAUCCAAAAUGGAGUGUGAAAGAAACCUGAAUUCAAACAUAAAACUAAUUGUUGCUCUACUGGAGUCGCUGCUUGGAAUUUUUAUUCCUUUCACAGUCAUGUUGACUUCAUAUUAUUGCUUAUACAAAACGGCCACACAGGGAACGUUGAGGCACAGACACAGAUCGACCAAACUGGUCACACGGAUUGUCAUAGUUUUCUUCAUUUUUUGGGCUCCACGCCAAAUAAUAAAAUUAGAGGAAAUUUGUGCUAAAUUUUUAGGAUCAGAGCCAGCUCUAGCUGUCGUCAGUGACGUUGCUGGAAGUUUUACAUUCAUCAACAGUUGUGUGAAUCCAUUCCUCUAUGCUUUUUCCUCAAAGAGUUUACGUAAACGCAAACAGCCAGUGGAGCCUGGGAUAACUAAAGGCUCACAACAUUCACAGAGGGACCAUUCCAUACCUUUGAGCAGCUCACUAGUAAAGCCUAACACCUUGGACUAAGUUCACUAUAUGGAGGAAAAUCCUGGAAUGUUUUCCACCAAAAACUACAUUUCUCUUCGACUGAAGAAAGAAAGACGUGAACAUCUUGGAUGACAUGGAGGUGACCCUCGUGUGGACAAAGAAGAGACAAAGUGAAGACAGACCGGUCAGACCACACACACAGUGACUUUAAGGGGCCUGUUAAAUUUUAUGAGGGUUUUAAAAGAGUUUUAUUGCUUUUCUCAAGUGGUUAGCUUGAUUUAUAAUAUGGCCAUGCUGAAGUGUACAUUCAUUUGGAUAGGUACUGUACCACUGGGUGUAAUGGUGCAUUGAUUAAUAACACAUCAGAAAGAAAAUGCAUUCAGAAUAAAGGUAGUGCAUUACAUUCUGCAAAAGUGCCAAUCUUCUUAUAGAUUGAGCCAUUUUAAUAAAUGGACUGCCCAAAUCAGCAAAAACAAGCCACCCACAUAUGCAUUUGAUAAGAUUUUGGCUUAAUAUCUUUUAAUUUAGCUUUGUUCAGCCGUUAAAUGCCAGUGUGAAAUCUUGUUUCCAUCCAUUCAUAGCUUCUAUUUAGCCUCAGGGGCAGAUACAGAUUCUUCAGUCUCUCAGUCUGAUCUCUGUGUUCAAUAUAUUGUGAGUUUGGACUCAUUCCUCAGGAGAACCGCUGAAACCUCUGAUCGCUCUGACAUACACUAAGCGGAGGCUGAUGGCAGUGGUCGGCGUGAUAAAUAAGGAUCUUGGUCUAAACACCCACUCACUCGGAUAAACACGAUUUCUGCCGAGCUUUUCCUCUGGGUUGUACCCUAAUAGCUAUUUAUGCGACACAAGCAUCUUUUAUGUUUCUGUCAAAGGUUUGGUGUUUUCAAUGCAGCUGACAGAGAAAAGGGUAGAAAUUUGAAUUAAAAUAUGGAUAGUUUAUUUUUCAACAUAUAUUUUUUAUCUUCAGUAAUAAUGGACUGAAAAUACUGGUUAAGAACAUGGUGAAAACAUUCAAACAAUUCAAACACACACAAAGGCAAGUGACACAUGAUACAUUAACUAGUAGCCAUAAGCUCUGAAGUAAACUGACAAUAGCUUCAAAAUGAAAAACUACAUAAACUUAAGAUAAA